GACAGAGGAUGCAAGCGUUAUCCGGAAUGAUUGGGCGUAAAGCGUCUGUAGGUGGCUUUUUAAGUCCGCCGUCAAAUCCCAGGGCUCAACCUGGGAACUGCAUUCAAAACUGACAAGCUAGAGUAUGGUAGAGGGUGGUGGAAUUUCCUGUGUAGCGGUGAAAUGCGUAGAUAUAGGAAGGAACACCAGUGGCGAAGGCGACCACCUGGACUGAUACUGACACUGAGGUGCGAAAGCGUGGGGAGCAAACAGG
rnacentral:rRNA from 1 species